rnacentral:rRNA from 1 species
AACGAACGUUGGCGGCGCGCCUAACACAUGCAAGUCGCACGAGAAAGGGAGCAAUCCCCGGUACAGUGGCGCACGGGUGAGUAACACGUGGAUAAUCUUCCCUCGGCGGGGGAUAACCUUCCGAAAGGAGGGCUAAUACCGCAUAAGACUACGGCCAAUCCGUUGGCAGCAGUCAAAGCAGGCCUCUUCACGAAAGCUUGCACCUGAGGAUGAGUCCGCGGCCCAUCAGCUAGUUGGUAGUGUAAAAGCCUACCAAGGCGAAGACGGGUAGCCGGUCUGAGAGGAUGAUCAGCCACACUGGAUCUGAGACACGGGCCAGACUCCUACGGGAGGCAGCAGUGGGGAAUCGUGCGCAAUGGACGAAAGUCUGACGCAGCGACGCCGCGUGGGUGAUGAAGGCCUUCGGGUUGUAAAGCCCUGUGGGGAGGGACUAAUAAGGCGUGGCUAAUAUCCACGAUGAUGACGGUACCUCCUUAGCAAGCACCGGCUAACUCUGUGCCAGCCGCCGCCGUAAAAC